rnacentral:lncRNA from 1 species
AAAAUGAAUGGAGAGUUUGUCAGAAGAAAAGAAGAUUAAAAAAGGGCAACGUUCAGCUUAAAUUCUGGAAAAGUUGCGGCUACAUCUUGUCACAAUAAUGUUGGCUAUCUUCAAGAGGCAAUGGACGGCCUAUAAAUAAGACCACAAGAAGCCGCGUCUGGGGGGCGGAGAAAAAGAAAAAAGACACAAAGUCUUCUUCUUCCUUGCGCAGCAUCUUCGUGGAACCCUGCAACCGUCCGAGCUUCCCCCUUUACCUGAGCGACCAGCAGCUCGUCGUCCUGACCACCACGCUUCCUCCGCGAGCCGCCGUCUGCAACCCUCCGCCCGAGCACCGGUGCCACAGCAGCUCGCCGUGCUCUUCCCGCAACCUCUGUGCCGCACCACCGAGUCCGCUCGCCGCUCCGCCAUCCACAGCACCCGCGUACCCGUUUUGGCAGAUUUGCCUCUCGGCCGGUCCCGCUUCUGCCAGAGCUGCAACCCGAAACCGGCGCCCCUCCUCCGUCCAGAUCUGCUCAGCGCUUCAGCUCGAGCUUGAAGCCGGUCGCUGCACCCCGUUAAUCGAGCGACCAACUGAGCCGCUUCCACCGCACCAAAUCCGGACGCCGACACCCAGCAGUACCACCAGAUCCCGACGCCGGCAGAUCUGAACCGUCGGCGAGCAUCCGCGUUUGCGCCCGUCCCCGACGCCCGCUUCAGCAGAUCCCGAAUCCUUUCUCUCCGAGCGACGACCGCCCCUACUCUGACCACGAUCUGCCAGACCCAGCGCCCGAAGGCUCUGCCGCGCCUCCGUCUGCUACCCCCGCGUUGGCUGCGGCUGCUCCAGAGCUGCCCGUUGCAACAACCCGCGACGCCAGCCCACGCCGGUCGCUGCGCCUCCUCGGCCUGCAGCAACUCGCGACGACGACGCCGCAGUAGCUCUCAACCGCAAGCCGGCCGUCGCCACUCUUUGCCCUCUGCCCGAGCAUCGACGCCACUGCAGCCCGCGCCUGAGGUCUUCCAACCGCGACGCCCCUCGCCGGUACCCCGCGCCGGAGCUCCGACGACUCUGCCCUGCCUCCAGCCCUAGCCGACCCGCGACGCCAGCCCGCGCCGAUCCCCGAAGCUCCUGUUGCUGUUCCGCCGUCGCGCCACUCCGACGGUGACCCCCACCAAAAGCCGCACGAGCCCAAGCUGUGCGUGGGAAAGGAAAAGAUAAAAAAACAUAAGGGGAAC